UGGAAGAUGUGCCAGGAGCCAAGAAAAGACUUUCCCAGACAGCACAGGGUGGAAUUCGUGGGAUGGGUGGGGACGUGUAGAGCAGUGCCCACAGCCCUGGGAUCUGCACCUGUCCCGAUCUGCAGUGCCGCAGCUGAGGAUGCCGGGUUCAGCACCAGAGCCCCAGGUGGCUAUGGGGGUCGUGGGACGGUGAUGGGGGCCCUGUCAGGGACUGUGGGAGUCAGAAAGCCCAAAAAGGGGUGGAAUUGGUAAGGGAAGUCUGAGGGAGGAAAUAUGGGGGUUCGGUGGGAGGCCAGUGCACAAAUAAGGAGUGCUGUUGGAGAUUGUGGGGCUCUGUGAGGUGCCAGGAUGGCUGUGCGGGAGAUGUACCUGGUCUGAGGAGGUUCUGGAAGGGUUACAAGGCUCUGUGGGAAGCGAUGGGGGAUAUAAGGACAUGGGCAGGAUAUGACACAAGCUGCAUGAGCAGAAUACUGUUCAGGAAAAGGAAAGAUGUAGGCUGAAGUGGGACACAGGGGUAUGGGGUGGUAUGGGGACAGAAAAGCAAUGCAGGGAUUUGAACAGAAGUUUGGGGUAAAAAAGGGGGGAGGAGGAUGCGCCUUCUCCUGCGCAGCACUCUGCUCCUGCAGGCUGUGGCCCAUAGCCCCACAUCCUCCCACGUUCACACGCACCCGUCUCCCCAUGCCCCCCACGUCACUUUCACCCACAGCUGUGCCCUACACCUUUGCCAGCUCUGCAUUCCCCGCCUGCUGUAUGGGAUCUGGAAGGAUACGGGGGUGAAGAGGAGCCCCAGGUGGGCUAUGGACGUCCUGGGACAAUGAUCGGGGUCCUGUCUGGGACUGUGGGGGCCUGUGAGAUCCCAGGGGUGACCUGAGGGGGGUUAGGGAGGUCCAAGGGAAGAUAUGUGGGGGUUCAGUGGGAGCCCAGUGCAAGGAUAAGGGGUGCUGUUGGGGACUGCGGGGCUCUAUGAGGUCCCAGGUUGGCUGUGGGGGAGAUGUACCUGGUCUGAGGAGGUACUGGAGGAGCUAUGGGGCUCUGGGUGUGUGGGGCGGGGAGAGGGGGAUAUAAGCACAUGGGAGGAUAUGGGCUCACAACCUGCAGGAGCAGAAUGCUGUUUGGGAGAAGGCAAGAUGUGGGCUGCAGGUGAGACACUGGGGUAUGCUGUGGUAUGAAGACAUAGGGGGGACGGGGGGAUGUGGGGAGAAGUUACGGGUAAAAAGGGGGGGGGCGGGGCGGUGUUGGAGCACCUCACACAUUGCCUUCUUCUGCACAGCAUUCUCCUCCUGCAGGCCCAUAUUGGCCCAUAUCCCCAAAUACUCCCACGUUACCGUGUAUCCAUCUUCCCAGUACCCCCCACGUCUCUUUCACCAACAUCUGUGCCCUACACCUCCCCCU
rnacentral:lncRNA from 1 species